AACGAACGCUGGCGGCAGGCCUAACACAUGCAAGUCNAGCGGGCAUCCUUCGGGAUGUUANCGGCGGACGGGUGAGUAACGCGUGGGAACGUGCCCUUUGCUACGGAAUAGCCUCGGGAAACUGAGAGUAGUACCGUAUGUGCCCUUCGGGGGAAAGAUUUAUCGGCAAAGGAUCGGCCCGCGUUGGAUUAGGUAGUUGGUGGGGUAAUGGCCUACCAAGCCGACGAUCCAUAGCUGGUUUGAGAGGAUGAUCAGCCACACUGGGACUGAGACACGGCCCAGACUCCUACGGGAGGCAGCAGUGGGGAAUCUUAGACAAUGGGGGAAACCCUGAUCUAGCCACGCCGCGUGAGCGAUGAAGGCCUUAGGGUUGUAAAGCUCUUUCAGUGGGGAAGAUAAUGACGGUACCCACAGAAGAAGCCCCGGCUAACUCCGUGCC
rnacentral:rRNA from 1 species